rnacentral:lncRNA from 1 species
AUAGUAAGAAGCAACCGACUUCAUAUUGUGUUGGGCAUCGAUGAUCCUCCCUUAGCCGCAGCCAUAGGUGUGGUUAAUAACAUCGUAGUAACAAUACUUACAAUACCUAUCAUAGCAGUCACUGCUCGACCGGCAGUAUCCGCCGCAACCACUCAUCAAACUCUUACCACCAGUUACUCACUACUCGACCGGCAGUAUCAGCCGCAACCACUCAUCAAACUCUUACCACCAGUUAGUUUUGA